rnacentral:rRNA from 1 species
GACGAACGCUGGCGGCGUGCUUAACACAUGCAAGUCGAGCGGAAAACUUCGGUUUUCAGCGGCGGACGGGUGAGUAACACGUGGGCAACCUGCCUCACAAUGAGGGAUAGCCUUCCGAAAGGAAGAUUAAUACCCCAUAACACAAGAGAAACGCAUGUUUCUCUUGCCAAAGAAUUUCGUUGUGAGAUGGGCCCGCGGCGCAUUAGCUUGUUGGUGAGGUAACGGCGCACCAAGGCUUCGAUGCGUAGCCGAACUGAGAGGGUGAUCGGCCACAUUGGAACUGAGACACGGUCCAGACUCCUACGGGAGGCAGCAGUGGGGAAUAUUGCACAAUGGAGGAAACUCUGAUGCAGCAACGCCGCGUGUGUGAUGAAGGUCUUCGGAUUGUAAAACUCUGUCUUCUGGGACGAUAAUGACGGUACCAGAGGAGGAAGCCACGGCUAACUACGUGCCAGCAGCCGCCGUAA